AUACGGAGGACGCGAGCGUUAUCCGGAUUUAUUGGGUUUAAAGGGAGCGCAGGCGGAGAUGCAAGCGUGACGUCAAAUUUCGGGGCUCAACCCCGUCUCGCGUCGCGAACUGCGUCCCUUGGUUGCGGGAAGGGGAGGCGGAACUCGUGGUGUAGCGGUGAAAUGCAUAGAUAUCACGAAGAACUCCGAUCGCGAAGGCAGCCUUCCGGCCCGUCAACGACGCUCAUGCUCGAAGGUGCGGGUAUCAAACAGGAUUAGAUACCCUGGUAGUCCGCACAGUAAACGAUGGACACCCGCGGUUUGGCCUAUAUGGCUGAGCCGCCAAGCGAAAGCGUUAAGUGUCCCACCUGGGGAGUACGCCGGCAACGGUGAAACUCAAAUGAAUUGGCGGGG
rnacentral:rRNA from 1 species